rnacentral:tRNA from 3 species
GCGGGAGUGGUGAAACCGGUAGACACGCAGGAUUUAGGUUCCUGUGCCUUCGGGCGUGAGGGUUCGAGUCCCUCCUUCCGCA